CAUUUUUGGUGCUACUAAUGAAUCUCUAUGCAAGGAUUUUUCUAAAGUUAUGCAAGAUCAUUUUGAGAUGAGCAUUAUGGGAGAUCUCACUUUCUUUUUUGGGGUCCAAGUCAAGCAAACUAAGGAUGGGAUAUUCAUUUCUCAAAGCAAGUAUGCCAGAGAAUUGGUGAAGAAAUUCAAAUUGUAGAAUUCUAACCAUGCACGAACUCCCAUGAGUACAAAUGUCAAGCCUGAUGCGGAUGAUACUGGAAAGUUUUGAUGCUGCAAUAAAGGAGGAAACAACCUGCGCAUUUCUUAGGAGGAAGUAGAAGGUGAGCCAGACUUUCACAUGCUAUCUCCAGAGGAAGACAUCAGUCUCACUCAAAAUCUAUUGGGAUAUAAUCGGUAAGGAAGAUUUCCAUUACAUGGUGUAAGACUUCACUAGGCAUAAGCAAAAGAUCCUUCAUGGUGUCCUUAGUGUUAUCUACAACAUCAAAGGCAUCCCUGGCCAAUAUUUUUGCUAUGCCACUUGUUCUACAUGUCUCAACCUAUUUGCAUGGGAAGAUUUACUAAGAACUACAUGUUUGAGUGACCAA